rnacentral:sRNA from 1 species
CUAUUGUUAACCUCUUUGUUUCCCGGGACCUUGGUGGCAGUUCUGCAGCCACAGAGGCAGUGGCAAUUUUGACAGCCACGUACCCUGUGGGUCACAUGCCAUACGGCUGGUUGACGGAAAUCCGUGCUGUCUAUCCUGCUUUCGACAAGAAUAACCCCAGCAACAAACUGGUGAGCACGAGCAACACAGUCACGGCGGCCCACAUCAAGAAGUUCACCUUCGUCUGCAUGGCUCUGUCACUCACGGUAAGGACAGAGGCUCUCUCUGUCUCUUCUCUCUUUUUGGUUUUUGUAAAGGGGUAAGUUGCUAUUUUAAAGGGGGAAAUCUUAUUUUCCACAAUGUAAUGUGGUGCUAGAUUAAUUAGCAACCUCUUCAAUACACGUUCUUCUUCAAAUGUGAACGAUUGUUAUUCAAGGAGGCCCUUGAGUCUAGGAAUAAAGGACCUACUUCAGGCAUUUCUUGGGACUUCUCAAAUGCUGCAGAAAGGAAGAGGUUGCCUUUAAUUGAAAUAAUACACUUGUCUUGCUGAAAAACUUCUAGCCCACUUUUUAAACAUCAAAAGUCAACUUUACAACCAUCCCUGUCUCUUUUCCAAAUUUAAUCAGCAUUAUUU